rnacentral:rRNA from 1 species
GCGGCAGGCCUAACACAUGCAAGUCGAGCGGAUGANUGGACUUGCUCCNUGAUUCANCGGCGGACGGGUGAGUAAUGCCUAGGAAUCUGCUGGUAGUGGGGGANAACGUUUCGAAAGGAACGCUAAUACCGCAUACGUCUACGGGAGAAAGNNGGGGAUCUUCGGACCUUACGCUAUCGGAUGAGCCAGGUCGGAUUAGCUAGUUGGCGAGGUAAAGGCUCACCAAGGCGACGAUCGUAACUGGUCUGAGAGGAUGAUCAGUCACACUGGAACUGAGACACGGUCAGACUCCUACGGGAGGCAGCAGUGGGGAAUAUUGGACAAUGGGCGAAAGCUGAUCCAGCCAUGCCGCGUGUGUGAAGAAGGUCUUCGGAUUGUAAAGCCUUUAAGUUGGGAGGAAGGGCAGUNAGUUAAUACCCNGCUGUUUUGACGUACCGACAGAAUAAGCACCGGCUAACUUCGUGCCAGCAGCCGCGGUAAUCGAAGGGUGCAAGCGUUAAUCGGAAUUACUGGGCGUAAAGCGCGCGUAGUGGUUCGUUAAGUUGGAUGUGAAAGCCCCGGGCUCAACCUGGGAACUGCUCCAAAACUGGCGAGCUAGAGUAGGCAGA